AUUCCAUAUCCUGUACGUUAGAGGAAUCCGACAGGAAGUAACGGACGUCCAUGUCCCCAAUAACGUUGUCCAGAUCGCCGACCGGACGUUCCCACUCUGGCAGGAAAGAAAUGUCAACAAAUGGUAAACAUCAUUCAUAAAAGUGUGGUAAAAAGCUUUCCUCUUUUCUUAUAAAUAAACAAAUUUUUCAAAAGCACAAAACUCUUGUCUGAAAUAAUACUUCAAGAAACUAUAUAUAGGUCACGCCGUUUCAGGAAUUUAAAACGGAAUCAGUAUUCUUCGUGCAGGGGCAGGUCACUCUGAUUUAUUGAAGAUGAUUUGCUUUUCAAUGCCAGUAACUUUUUGUAUACAUCUUGGAACUGAUUUUGAACUGAGUUUUAUCGUACUCUCCGAGUUGUCAGAUUCCUGCAAUAUGUCUCGUUACAUUUAUACUACUUUGUUACUUUAGGCAUUGAUUAAGAAAUAUAAACAAGUUCACAACAAUAAACAUCAGUGAAUCAAAGUUGCUCGCCGACAUUUCUUGCAUAAAUAUAGAAAUUUGUUAACAGUAAUUGACAUUUUCAAUGGAUGCCCUAUCAAACUUACACAUAAAAUCUUGUUUCUGUGUAAAACAUACUCACCAAUUUUAUCACUAGUCGUGUCCCUUGGUGACUUUUCCGUUUUCUUUUUCCUCUCUGUUUGACCUACUCUCCACUUUCUGGAAUCCAGGAACAGCAGGUGGGGUUUUUCUACAAUGAAUUUUAAGAACAGGCCAAACAAUGGGGGUGCAUACUAAACACAAAUGCGUACAGUAUAAUACUAGAAUUCAGCAAAAUAUGGUAUGAUCAAAUGUACCAAGUUGCAAGAUCCUGGAGAUUACAGUUCAUUUUGCCUACAAGGCCCAGACAGACAGAUGGAUGACACCAUACCAUAUUGCGUCCUGUCUUUGACGGGCGUAUUAAAACUGGACAAGUAACUUACUUUGUCCCGAUUUUUCCAGCACUUGGCUGACCAGGAGGAUGUUCAACUCGUCCGUUGUCAGUCUUCCAUUGUGCUGCUUACUCAGAUUUUUGACAUAGGUAUCUGUAAAAUAUAUAACACUUUGGAUCUCUGAAACAUCAACUGGAAACAAAGACUCCCAAAUGGACACGAAUUUCAUUCAAAUUCCAAAAUCAUACAUAAUUCUGCAAUGUUAUUAAUUAAAACCAUUCUAAAUGUGAAAUCAAUUGGUAUAAUGUUAAGAAGUUUGAUUUUCUAGACAAUAAAUAAGUCAAAC